AAGCAGGUUGAGAUCAACACAAUAGCAGCAGGUGCAGGCAGUCUUGGAUCAUUGUUAGUUCACCUGCACAGGUUUACCCUUGACAUUUUAGGGAAGCAUUACAAUAAAGAGGUGGUCAGGAUAACGACUCUUCUCUGGGAACAGCUUUGGGGUUUACUGAAGGCGUGGGGGAGUUGUAUGGACGGAAACAG